AUACUUACCAGGAUGGGGUCAAUGGGCGAUCAAUAAGACCCAUGGCCUAGGCUGUUGACUUCCAUUGCACUUUGGAAGGAUCUCCGCCUAAGGUCGGCCCAAGUGAUUGAGCCUACGUCAUAAUUGGUGAUAGUGGGGGUCUGCCGCGCGGCUCCUUCCC
rnacentral:snRNA from 2 species